CUGAGCUCUAUUGCCAUUUGCCACGUAAUCUCCCGAGUGCAGAGUAUAUGCAGAGUUCAUAUGCUAUUCGGAACGAGAAAACGCGGAAAUGUCAGACUUGCUAACUGGUUGUAGUUAUAUACGUGCCGCGUACAUGGUUAGCAAGUGGGUAAAUGUCCGAGUUUCCUAGCUCCGACUAGCACUUGAAAGCGGCAAUAGGUACAAGGGGCGGAUUGCGUAGCAGAGCAACACGAGCCUGUCAGAACCGGAGGAGAACACACGGGCAAAAUCUUAGAGCAUACAAGUUCAAGGGGGGGAUUGUUUUAGUUUCCCCUGUGAAAACAAAACAUUGAAACGUGGAUAUUGUUGAUUAAGUAGGUGCGUGGUGUUGGCGAGCAAGUGGACCACCAAUGACUGCACCUUCAGAACUGUAGAGGCAGUAACUGUCACUGCAUCUGCAGGACUUGUCUGAGAGACUUGGCUGACCCUACGGAGUGUUGCAGUGUGCCUGCCCAGGGAGGGCGUCACCAUGAGGCAGCUGAAGGGGAAGCCCAAGAAGGAGACAUCCAGGGACAAGAAGGAGCGUAAGGCGGCCAUGCAGGAGGCCCGGUCGCAGGUGGCCACAGUGGUUCUACCCACGCUGGCUGUGGUGGUGCUGCUCAUCGUAGUCUUUGUUUACGUAGCCACCAUGCCCAGGGCCUUAGAGUAGUGCCAGGUUCCACAUACCUCCCCUUGGCCCUAACCCCUUGAUGUUAGCAUGUCUGUCUGGUCUUAAUAGGUAUAAGCAGUGUCAGCAUUCUCCAACCCUGUUCCUGGAGAGCUACCUUGCUGUAGGUCUUCACUCCAACCCUAGUUGUAACUAACCUGAUUCAGCCUAUCAACUAGCUAAUUAUUAGAAUCAGGUGUGCUAGAUUAGGGUUGGAGCGAAAAACUACAGGAAGGUAUCUCUCCAAGAACAGCGUUGGUGUGAACCUACAGGACGGUAGCUCUCCAGGAACAGCGUCGGAGAGCCCUGAGCAGUGUAGUACUACAGCGUCCACCAUAUUGCUCCUAUCUAAUAGAUCUUGGCCAAGGGGAAGGGUAGGGGUUGAAUCGGGUCCUGCUCUAGGAUGGCUGGGCCCCGCUGGGGAUGUAUGCCUCAGCCCUGCCUCCAUGGACUGGGUCCCAAUUUACUCAGAGACUUGCUGCACCCAAAGGAUGCCCCCCACCCCCCGACUCCCAGCUUAAUGUACUCAUCCCUCAUAUAGCAGUUUUUUUAAAUGUUAUUUUAUUUAACCUUUAUUUAACUAGGCAAGUUUUCUGGUCACUCAUUUCAUCCUCUCACCCACACUUCACUAUCUCCUUGUGUCCUCGGAGACCUGCCAUUUGUCUUAAUUGAAGCUUCCUGCCAAGUGCCAUUUUGCCAUGAGAGAAUUGAGCUGCAAAACAAUCAUUGAAUGGAGAAGUAUUACAGGAGUGGCUUCAUAGGUGCCUUUUUGAUGGAUGAAGAUGUGUGGCAACUAAGGCAACCAUGUUAGCUCAAGGGCAGAACUUUUAUCUGCUACAUCUCACUCAUUCUGUUACGACAGUGGGAUUCAUGUUGGCUCUGGUGCUGUCUUAGUUUCAAUUUCCUGUUUAUCAAAGGACUUUCGGUACACACCUUGCCAAGUUUGAUCUGAGGAUGUUUUAUUCAGGUGAAAGGUUGAAGAAGCAUUUAAUUAAAGUGUGACAAAAUGAAUCUACUGGCAUUGUUUAGCAAUGUGUUUUUCAAGAUUAAGGUUACAUGACAAAGAGCAUUUGACCGUUUUCAGGCCAGCAGUCCAAGCUAUGUCUAGAAUGUAUACAUCCAAAAAUUUGCGAUUACAAAAAAAAAAGAACAUUUUCACAUGCCAGCAAUUGGUCCUGUCUGUUCAAAUAGUUGAAAGCAACUCAGGAUUUUGUCCUGAUUGAAUGUGGUGUUUUUGUACUAGACAGAUUGUGAAUAUGUCACACAGGAGAACAUAAUAUAUUAAUGUACAAUCACAGCGCUACACACUUUGUACCUUUUUUAAGUUAUUGACAACUUUGACUUUUGGGUCGCUCAAUAUGACAUCUGUGCAGAUGUGAAAAUAUGUGCCUUAUAACAUUUGACAAUUCCUCUUUUUCAGUUAAUAAAGAACUGAAAACUGUUUGUUGCUCGAGUCCCCUCAAACUCGAUUCUGGACCUCGAAGACAGUUUUUUUUCCAUUUUUCCCCUCUAUUCAGGGACAGGUUUAGACCUGGGACACCUGGUGGGUGAAAUGACCUCCUAGGGUAAGAGUUGAAUACCCCUGCUCUAGUCUAUUUGGUGUAAUUUGGUGUACCUUUAACCCAUAUGCAGUAAUGCAGGCAGCCCGGUGGAUCAGUAGUGUCACCUGGCAUCCUCUAGGGACACUAAAGAGCAGUGUCCCUACUGUCCCCUAGGCGUACUGUAUGUCUGUGUUGGCCCCUGCCCCUGUUGCCCAAAGUCUGACUUGCUUUGGAUGAGGAAUGGUUGGAUUUUGCUCUGUCCUGUAAUAUAUAAUCUGAGAGUGCAGGCAAGGAUGAACAAGGGAAAGAACAUGAUCUAAGAUUGAUUGCUCCUUAGAACUUCAGAUGGAGCACUUAAAGUAAGGACACAUUCUGUAAUAUACUGAGACGGUGGAGAAUCCUCUUGUGUACCAGAUUGACAUUUUUUUAAUGAGCGGCUAUCCAUAAAUGUCAGAGCAGAGAAAAGGCUUAACCUUAUCAGUCUUGAGACUCCAACAAAAAUAGUCUUCAUUUAUGACUUUCAUUUAUCUGCAUGUCCAGCCCUUAUUUAGCCUCAGUGUUUUACCGUUUUAUUUUCAGGACAACUAGGGCUACAAGUAAAAUAAUUUGACAUAAAAAGUUGCAUUCAUUAGUUUUAUUGACUAAUGUAUAUUUAUAGAAAUAUAUAUUUUAAAGUGGGACUUAAUACAAAAACCUGAAUAUGAAUUGUUUGGCCAGUGGGAAAUGAAUAUCCAACUAGUCAGUGACAACUGUGCAGUUUGGAGUUUGUUACAGCAACUAUGUGAGCUUAUGUUUGAGUAUUAUAGGCACUAUGUCCUUGGAUUUCCUAUGAUCUUCUUUGUAGAAUAACCCCUUACCUUCUAAGGACUCUUAUGUAGCUUGUGAGCGUCAACAUGAUACGUGCAUGUUUGUGAGAGUCAGCUUUUUAUAGAUCGCUUUUACGUAACUCUACCCAGCCCCGGGCCCCGCCCUUGUCCCACAAACACCGCUCUAGCUCAGCCCCUGUUAAUCACAAAGCUGAAGCAGGAGACAUGGACAAAUCCAAUGGUACACAUUUUUAUUUUACCUUUAUUUAACUAGGCAAGUCAGUUAAGAAUUCUUAUUUUCAAUGACAGCCUAGUGGGUUGGGGCAGAACGACAGAUUUGUACCUUGUCAGCUCGGGGGUUUGAACUUGCAACCUUCCGGUUACUGGUCCAACGCUCUAACCACUAGGCUACCCUGCCACCCCAAAUCUAAUGGUACAACCCAGAAGUCUGUAGCUCAAACACACAAUGUUUAAAAAGGUGUCCAAAUCGUGCCGGCGACGCGGUGGGACUCAUUGGGACCCCUGUGAAAUAGAGAAAGUUAAGCCGAGACACAAGCACCUCACACCAUACCCCCUCCCUUCUUCCAACACACAGCUGCAACAUGAAGUUAAUCUACUUCCUAUCUAUCCACUAUACAGCAAAAAUAUCCAGCAGACCAUUACCUUGGAGAAGCGCUGUAGUCUAACAAGAUGUCUGUUUGAAUGGAUCCAGCCUAUUCUCUAGUCUCCCCUCUCUUCCUGGUGUCUCAUUAAAAGUUGGAGGGAGACAGAUGGUGCGGUGCAAGUCAAGUAUGGCUGCCUUCGUAUGUCAGCUUCUCUAUCUCUGUGUGCUCUCUCACUAUCCCCAUACUUGCUGGGUUAGAGGUGUGGUUUGGGGUAAGAAGACCUGAGUUUGGGGUCAAGUGCUUGAGAAAUGUUAACAAUUACUUUAUUAGAUAAAAAUGAAUCACAUCUAAAAACAUUAAAAAAUUAGAUUUUUUUACUAAGACCAUAGAAUCAUGUAUACUGUUCAUCUGAAUAGUUUGAGAUGUACAGUAAGACCUCUGAUGUAAACACGUUGAGAAUGGAGGUGGUUCAGAACAUUGAAAUGUUCAAAUCAUUAUGGAAAAUAGAGUAUUUUUUUAAGUUGAUCGAGAAAAGACAUUUAUCUCCCUUGAACAGGAUAUUAUCUUGAAACCAUCUGCCAUCCUUCCUUUCUCCUCAUUUGAGACCAAGCACGGAGACACUAAUGAAUAGUCAUUGGCUGACAGUAUUUGUUCAGUGAAGGUGGAGUGAAAUGCAGGUGUGUCAUAGUAGACUUGUUAGAAGGACAGAAUGCCUUGUGAGGAGUUCAGAUACACCCCAACUCUGUCAGUGUUUGAGGAAACGACGUUUGAGGAGUCUCAGGCGCCAGGAUUUGUCAUUGUAACAACAUAAACAGUUGAGCUCUUUUCCAACCCUGCUCAUGUCUUUUAUAUGCCACACCUGCAUUACCCUUUCCCACCACACAGCCUCCCAGUAACAACGUCCAGUCAAACCUUCUCUUCACAGCACCUGAGGAUAGUCGUCAAAUCUCUCGGUGUGAUAUAGAUUAUUCAACUAACAUUAAUCUAGCACCAGGAUCAGCAGUGUUUAGCAGAAACUAAACUUUUAACAUAAACUAUAUUUUGCUAGCUAAUUUAGCGAACGUCGGUAGCCUCGAACCCCGGCCAUAUUAGAUCAUAUAAAUUAGUUAGCCUCAAACUUUGCCCGGUCAUACUGCUAGUUGCAGUGAACGGCACCGUCAUGUUUUAUUAAAAACAAUGCUGAAAAAAAAACUAUAACAGCCACGGAAACACAUUGGACUAUGUUAAUGCUAUCAAGAAGGGAACCAUGAAGAGGAGCUUGGAGUGGGCAAGGGAGAGGCUGAUAAAGCAGCAGAGGAGACCUGAUUAAUCAAGUAUCAAUUAAUUUAGGUGAUUCUCAACUGGUUGGCAUGCACAACAUAAGACACUUCAAUCUGACACUUGUUAAUGUUUGACGUCAGGCAAAACAUCUUCAGCCACCGUAGGACGGAGAGCCGCUGGUUGGCAUUUGACUGCAGUGUCUGUCUGGGUGUACCAGGAAAGAACGUUAGUAGUUAGGUCCCCAUGAUAUCAAAGCUUCUUACCGUCUCCACUGCAGCCUAGUCAAUAUCGAUAAAAUAAAAUAAACUGGAACAAUGGAUUGUACGACAUUAUGUACAACUCCAGUUUGCCUAUUGCCCCAACAUAUGUCAAUUAUACAUUUUUACAUACGUCAGAGUGCAUUUUCUUUUAUAGCUUUGCGUUCAACGCCAUCCUUACCCACAAACUGGUUAGCAGGCUCUGGGUGUAAAUCCUGUAAUAAAUUAGAUUUUUUACAUUAUAAGAAUGUGUAUCCACAGAAUGGACCUGACACUACCAUGGUACACAUGAGUACAUGAAGGAGCUGUGGGACCUGACAAUGGUGAUAGGACAAGUUUCAGCAUAAGCAAAACAAAGUAGAUGGUGAUACUUGACCAUUCUCCCAUCUACUGUACAUUGACAUGGAGAUGAUCAGCAGCUGCAAGUUCCUGGGCACCCUGAUAUCCUUUUCUGCCCUCAGUUACUUCACUCAAAGUCCCACUUGUGCUUCUCCACUAACCUCAAACUUGCUGCACCACGACCUAUGUACCAACUACAGUGUCUUUUAUUGCCAUAACACAUGUAAAGGAAAUGUCCAUAUUUACUGUAAGAUUUAUUUAUGGUAACAUUGCACAUAUUGUAACAUAGUCCCUUGACAUACAUGACUUAACUACUUUGCAUAAUGCUCAGUUUACCCACUAAAAUCAUACAUUUAUUUAAAUAUUAAAGCUGCAUUAUGUAA